AGGACCUGUCCCCCGAAACUCUUAUACACUUGAGAUGGACUAUGGGUUGCUGCUACCCAGAAUGCAACCGGACUUGGGACUUAGAACACAGCCCGCUUCUUGAACGAUGCAGGGGCACCAGUGUCACUAGAUGAGGAGACUCUGAAAGAUUCAUGAGCUCACUGGCGAGGAGCCCUUGAACAGGAGUGAUACGGAAAACAAAACCGUUCUGGUAAAAUUACAGUUCUG
rnacentral:lncRNA from 1 species